rnacentral:tRNA from 1 species
AGGGGAGUGGCUCAACGGUAGAGCAAUGGUCUCCAAAACCAUCGGUUGCGGGUUCAAAUCCUGUCUCCCCUGCCA